UUCUCCUUCUCUUUCCCUUUCUUUCUCUUAUCGAUUGAGAGCUGAGACUUACUGCUUCCUUCCUUCUUCUUUAUGGGGAGAGAAUGGACCCCUAACAUGUGUAGAAUGACUUUGUGAGAAGCACCGAGUAGGGGUUAUGUAAAAAGAUCGGCGAGUUGUUGGUGAGAUGGGACAAAGGAAAGGGAAAUUAACCCCAAGAGGUACUGUUGGCGGACAAAGUGAUAAUCGAGCUCAGCAUGCUUUGUUUGCUCGUGAAAGACAGGGUUACGAGCGAUAUGUAUGGAGGCUUGGCUGUCGGAGUGAACUAGAACGGGAAGUGAAGGUGGAGAAGACAGAUCUACGAGAAGUCGUACCAACCAGGUAAUUUCUGCGGUGACUCGUCUCAUAGACCUAUACUUUGCUUCUCCAGAGGAGAGGGAAAUUGACACUUGCUUUUUUGAUUUCCAGGAAAUAGGUGCUCCAUCGAGCAUGAUAAAUAAGACACUGACAGAUUCGAGAAUCUUUGCAAGCCGCCCAAUCGGAAUCACAAAAGGCUAUCAAAUCAAAAGAGGG
rnacentral:lncRNA from 1 species